rnacentral:rRNA from 1 species
GUGCCAGCAGCCGCGGUAAUACAGAGGGUGCAAACGUUGCUCGGAAUCAUUGGGCGUAAAGCGCACGUAGGCGGUCCAGCAAGUCGGGUGUGAAAGCCCAGGGCUCAACCCUGGAAGUGCAUUCGAAACUGCUGGACUUGAGUACCGGAGAGGGUGGCGGAAUUCCCGGUGUAGAGGUGAAAUUCGUAGAUAUCGGGAGGAACACCAGUGGCGAAGGCGGCCACCUGGACGGAUACUGACGCUGAGGUGCGAAAGCGUGGGGAGCAAACAGGAUUAGAAACCCUGGUAGUCC